rnacentral:rRNA from 1 species
GACGAACGCUGGCGGCGUGCUUAACACAUGCAAGUCGAACGGAAAGGCCCUGCUUUUGUGGGGUGCUCGAGUGGCGAACGGGUGAGUAACACGUGAGUAACCUGCCCUUGACUUUGGGAUAACUUCAGGAAACUGGGGCUAAUACCGGAUAGGAGCUCCUGCUGCAUGGGGGGGGUUGGAGAGUUUCGGCGGUUGGGGAUGGACUCGCGGCUUAUCAGCUUGUUGGUGGGGUAGUGGCUUAUCAAAGCAUUGACGGGUAGCCGGCCUGAGAGGGUGACCGGCCACCUUGGUACUACUAUACGGCCCAGACUCCUACGGGAGGCAGCAGUGGGGAAUAUUGUACAGCGGGCGGAAGCCGGAUGCAGCAGCGCCGCGUGCGGGAUGACGGCCUUCGGGUUGUAAACCGCUUUCGCCUGUGACGAAGCGGGAGUGACGGUAAUGGGUAAAUAAGCACCGGCUAACUACGUG